rnacentral:rRNA from 1 species
UACGGAGGAUCCGAGCGUUAUCCGGAUUUAUUGGGUUUAAAGGGUGCGUAGGCGGCGCUUUAAGUCAGUGGUGAAAUACGGCAGCUCAACUGUCGCAGUGCCCUUGAUACUGAAGUGCUUGAAUACUGUUGAAGAUGGCGGAAUGAGACAAGUAGCGGUGAAAUGCAUAGAUAUGUCUCAGAACACCGAUUGCGAAGGCAGCUGUCUAAGCAGCGAUUGACGCUGAUGCACGAAAGCGUGGGGAUCGAAC